AACGAACGCUGGCGGCAUGCCUAACACAUGCAAGUCGAACGGGACCUUCGGGUCUAGUGGCGCACGGGUGCGUAACGCGUGGGAACCUGCCUUUAGGUUCGGAAUAACCCAGAGAAAUUUGAGCUAAUACCGGAUGAUGUCUUCGGACCAAAGAUUUAUCGCCUUUAGAUGGGCCCGCGUUGGAUUAGCUAGUUGGUGGGGUAAAGGCCUACCAAGGCGACGAUCCAUAGCUGGUCUGAGAGGAUGAUCAGCCACACUGGGACUGAGACACGGCCCAGACUCCUACGGGAGGCAGCAGUGGGGAAUAUUGGACAAUGGGCGAAAGCCUGAUCCAGCAAUGCCGCGUGAGUGAUGAAGGCCUUAGGGUUGUAAAGCUCUUUUACCCGAGAUGAUAAUGACAGUAUCGGGAGAAUAAGCUCCGGCUAACUUCGUGCCAGCAGCCGCGGUAAAAC
rnacentral:rRNA from 1 species